rnacentral:rRNA from 1 species
GAUGAACGCUAGCGGCAGGCUUAAUACAUGCAAGUCGUGGGGCAGCAUGAGUAGCAAUACUUGAUGGCGACCGGCAAACGGGUGAGGAACACGUACACAACCUUCCUUCAAGCGGGGAAUAGCCCAGAGAAAUUUGGAUUAAUACCCCAUAAUAUAUUUGAUAAGGCAUCUUAUUAAUAUUAAAGCUUCGGCACUUGAUGAUGGGUGUGCGGCUGAUUAGAUAGUUGGCGGGGUAACGGCCCACCAAGUCUACGAUCAGUAGCUGAUGUGAGAGCAUGAUCAGCCACACGGGCACUGAGGCACGGGCCCGACUCCUACGGGAGGCAGCAGUAAGGAAUAUUGGACAAUGGACG